rnacentral:rRNA from 1 species
AUUGAACGCUGGCGGCAGGCCUAACACAUGCAAGUCGAGCGGAGCGGCCGACGGGUGGGUAAUUCCUAGGCAUGUGCCUGGCAGUGGGGGAUGACGAACGGAUACGGUCGCUAACACAGACCACUAUCCGUCGGGCCUGGGUCGGAUUAGCUAGUGGGUGGGGUAGAGGCCUACCAAGGCGACGAUCCGUAACUGGGCUGAGAGGAUGAUCAGUCACACUGGAACUGAGACACGGUCCAGACUCCUACGGGAGGCAGCAGUGGGGAAUAUUGGACAAUGGGCGAAAGCCUGAUGCAGCCAUGCCGCGUGUGUGAAGAAGGUCUUCGGAUUGUAAAGCACGUUAAGUUGGGAGGCGUUACCAGCAGAAGAAGCACCGGCUAACUCCGUGCCAGCAGCCGCGGUAAUUC